rnacentral:lncRNA from 1 species
UAGAGGACUAUUGGUGACAAUACCAUCCGAGAUGUGAUUUGUUGUGAUGUGUUGCAUUACAUGAUGGCAUGAGAUUUUAAAUGUUGUUUUCCAUUAUUCUGCUCACUGGGCUCUAGUAGCUCACCUCUUUUCCCUAAUCCCCCAGGAUUGCAGGUACGGGCUAGACAGAGAAGUCAAGAAGAGUAAAGUCAUGUGUUUGUAAUAGAUAGAAAGUGGACAUGAUAAAUUG